rnacentral:tRNA from 1 species
UGUUCUGUGACGGAGUUGGUUAACGCGCCCUGUCUAGCGAACUUGGGGAGACGUGGGUUCAAAUCCCACCAGAACUA